AGAGUUUGAUCAUGGCUCAGGAUGAACGCUAGCUACGAGGCUUAACAACAUGCAAGUCGAGGGGCAGCAUGAACUUAGCUUGCUAAGUUUGAUGGCGACCGGCGCACGGGUGAGUAACACGUAUCCAACCUGCCGAUGACUCGGGGAUAGCCUUUCGAAAGAAAGAUUAAUACCCGAUGGCAUAGUUCUUCCUCAUGGUGGAACUAUUAAAGAAUUUCGGUCAUCGAUGGGGAUGCGUUCCAUUAGG
rnacentral:rRNA from 1 species